rnacentral:rRNA from 1 species
UACGAAGGGAGCAAGCGUUAUUCGGAAUUACUGGGUGUAAAGGGCGUGUAGGCGGUCAGUUAAGUCAGCUGUUAAAUUUCUUGGCUCAACCAAGGUUCUGCAGUUGAUACUGGUUGACUAGAGGGCAAGAGAGAGAAGUGGAAUUCUCGGAGUAGCGGUAAAAUGCGUAGAUCUCGAGAGGAACACCAGUUGCGAAGGCGGCUUCUUGGCUUGUUUCUGACGCUAAAGCGCGAAAGCGUGGGGAGCAAACAGGAUUAGAUACCCGCGUA